CCAUAACGCGUCUAGGGUUCCGGCCGCUUGCGGUGUCUGGUCCGAGAGAUGCACUCCCGGCCAUUCUUCGGAUGGGCGGAGCCACGGCGGGAUAAAAGCCCGGGAGAG
rnacentral:sRNA from 2 species